rnacentral:rRNA from 1 species
GACGAACGCUGUCGGCGUGCUUAACACAUGCAAGUCGAACGGAAAGGCCCUGCUUUUGUGGGGUGCUCGAGUGGCGAACGGGUGAGUAACACGUGAGUAACCUGCCCUUGACUUUGUGAUAACUUCAGGAAACUGGGGCUAAUACCGGAUAGGAGCUCCUGCUGCAUGGUGGGGGUUGGAAAGUUUCGGCGGUUGGGGAUGGACUCGCGGCUUAUCAGCUUGUUGGUGGGGUAGUGGCUUACCAAGGCUUUGACGGGUAGCCGGCCUGAGAGGGUGACCGGCCACAUUGGGACUGAGAUACGGCCCAGACUCCUACGGGAGGCAGCAGUGGGGAAUAUUGCACAAUGGGCGGAAGCCUGAUGCAGCAACGCCGCGUGCGGGAUGACGGCCUUCGGGUUGUAAACCGCUUUCGCCUGUGACGAAGCGUGAGUGACGGUAAUGGGUAAAGAAGCACCGGCUAACUACGUGCCAGCAGCCGCGGUGAUACGUAGGGUGCGAGCGUUGUCCGGAUUUAUUGGGCGUAAAGGGCUCGUAGGUGGUUGAUCGCGUCGGAAGUGUAAUCUUGGGGCUUAACCCUGAGCGUGCUUUCGAUACGGGUUGACUUGAGGAAGGUAGGGGAGAAUGGAAUUCCUGGUGGAGCGGUGGAAUGCGCAGAUAUCAGGAGGAACACCAGUGGCGAAGGCGGUUCUCUGGGCCUUUCCUGACGCUGAGGAGCGAAAGCGUGGGGAGCGAACAGGCUUAGAUACCCUGGUAGUCCACGCUGUAAACGGUGGGUACUAGGUGUGGGGUCCAUUCCACGGGUUCCGUGCCGUAGCUAACGCUUUAAGUACCCCGCCUGGGGAGUACGGCCGCAAGGCUAAAACUCAAAGGAAUUGACGGGGCCCCGCACAAGCGGCGGAGCAUGCGGAUUAAUUCGAUGCAACGCGUAGAACCUUACCUGGGUUUGACAUGGAUCGGGAGUGCUCAGAGAUGGGUGUGCCUCUUUUGGGGUCGGUUCACAGGUGGUGCAUGCCUGUCGUCAGCUCAUGUCGUGAGAUGUUGGGUUAAGUCCCGCAACGAGCGCAACCCUUGUUCACUGUUGCCAGCACGUUAUGGUGGGGACUCAGUGGAGACCGCCGGGGUCAACUCGGAGGAAGGUGGGGAUGACGUCAAGUCAUCAUGCCCCUUAUGUCCAGGGCUUCACGCAUGCUACAAUGGCUGGUACAGAGAGUGGCGAGCCUGUGAGGGUGAGCGAAUCUCGGAAAGCCGGUCUCAGUUCGGAUUGGGGUCUGCAACUCGACCUCAUGAAGUCGGAGUCGCUAGUAAUCGCAGAUCAGCAACGCUGCGGUGAAUACGUUCCCGGG